rnacentral:lncRNA from 1 species
ACUCAGUUGUUGCUUCUGACUGUCACUUUAUCACUGUGAUUACUUCUUUACAGAUCCUGGAAAAGAGAAAGAAUUGAAGUCUCCAGCUGCCACAAAAGACAAAGAGCACACUAAAGAAAAAGAAGAAAAGAAUCCUACAGCUUUAAAAGAAAAAGAGUCUCUGAAAGGAAAAAAUCCCAAUCCAGAGGGGGCGAAGGAGAAAGAGCCUGGUAAAAGAAAAGAUGUGAAGCCUCCAGCAGUUUUGAAGGAAAAGGAGUCUUUAAAAGGAAAAGAAAUGAUGACUUCAACUUCCAUAAAGGAAAAAGCUGUGGUGAAAAAGGAAGAGGAGAAGAAAGAAGAGAAAACUAAACAACAAAAGACAGCUUCCACCAAGAAAUCAGUCCAGUCAAAGCCAGCAAAGCACGAAGCUGUCAAACAUGAGAAAGGCGUUCCAUUAACAAAACCAGGUAGGCAUCCAGCAUCUUAUGCGCUUGUUACUUUUGAAACU